rnacentral:rRNA from 1 species
GAGUUUGAUCGUGGCUCAGGACGAACGCUGGCGGCGCGCUUAACACAUGCAAGUCGAGCGAGAACCGGGCCUCCGGGCCUGGGGAAAGCGGCGAACGGGUGAGUAACACGUAGGUAACCUGCCCUCGGCACCGGGAUAGCUCGGGGAAACCCGGAUUAAUACCGGACGGCCUCCGGAGCCUUCGGGCGCCGGAGAAAAGGUGGCUUAGGCUUCCGGCCGAGGAUGGGCCUGCGGCGGAUUAGCUUGUUGGCGGGGUAACGGCCCACCAAGGCGACGAUCCGUAGCUGGUCUGAGAGGACGAUCAGCCACACUGGGACUGAGACACGGCCCAGACUCCUACGGGAGGCAGCAGUGGGGAAUCUUGCACAAUGGGCGAAAGCCUGAUGCAGCGACGCCGCGUGCGGG